rnacentral:sRNA from 1 species
UUUGGAACAACGAGCUUAAUUUCUUUG